rnacentral:rRNA from 1 species
UGGGGGAUAUUGCACAUUGGGCGAAAGCCUGAUGCAGCGACGCCGCGUGGGGGAUGAAGGCCUUCGGGUUGUAAACUUCUUUUGCUCUGAACAAGGCAUGCUAAUGGGUGUGUUGAGUGUAGGGGUUGAUUAGCGCCGGCUAACUACGUGCCAGCAGCCGCGGUAAUACGUAGGGCGCGAGCGUUGUCCGGAAUUAUUGGGCGUAAAGGGCUUGUAGGUGGCUGGUUGCGUCUGUCGUGAAAGCUCAUGGCUUAACUGUGGGUUUGCGGUGGGUACGGGCUGGCUUGAGUGCAGUAGGGGAGGCUGGAAUUCCUGGUGUAGCGGUGGAAUGCGCAGAUAUCAGGAGGAAUACCGGUGGCGAAGGCGGGUCUCUGGGCUGUUACUGACACUGAGGAGCGAAAGCAUGGGGAGCGAACAGG